AGUCCGUGGUGCGAGCAACAUUGGAGCAAGUCUUUAUACCUCUCCCAAGCAUCAUACAUGCUAUUGUCAUUGAAUUACACAAAAGAAGAUAUAUCAUUUCUAAAUCU
rnacentral:snoRNA from 1 species